ACAAAAAGCACAUUAGUGCUUACCUGGAGCUAGAAGUAGGAGAGGUUGAUUGUCAGUGGCCAGGGAACAAUGGAAAUGUUCUAAACCUGGAUGGAGGUGAUGUUUGUAUAGCUCUGAUUACUUCCUUCUAAAGUCAUUGAAGUUUAAAGUUAAGUUGCAAGAAUUUCAGGCUAGGGGGUGAGGGUGGCACCUUACACCAGUGAUCCAAGUACUCAGGAGGCAUAGGAGGUGGAUUUCUGUUGAGUUUAAGGCCAUCCUGGUCUAUGUAGUGAAUUCCAGGUCAGCCAGGAUUACACAGGGAGACCAUGUCUUGAAAAUCACACAUUUGUGUACAUACACAACACACACACACACAAACACACACACACACACACACACACACACGGGGAGGCAGAAGGAGUUUCUUUCCAUAUAAGUUCACUAAAACUGCUGUCAAGAGGAGAAUUGCUUGAAUGUUCCAGAAUUCUGUGUUGUGAUGGAACCACACUGGGUUGGAGGAUAUAUGACCAGGUACACUCAUGUCUAACACAGGAGCUCUUCAGACUUUAGAGUCAACCCUGUCCUACUACAGCUGAAGAAACUGGGGCAGAGAUGGAGAGUGACAGGUUCAAGUCACAGUGUUCUGGCGGCAGGCCCACCUUCAUUCGGCAGUCAGGUUUGGUGCUUCAGAACCUGCAAACCCUAUGUCUGGAUCUACAGAUAGCAGCAUGGCAAAGGUGGGCAGCCCAGAAGUUGAAUGCUGAAGAUCUGGGGUUUCCUAAGCCAGAUUCCUCUUCUCCACUCACCCCCUGGACCUCGGCAGGAAGCAUGGUUUACUUGCUGGCCUCAUUCAUACAGCCUGACUCAGUGUACACGUACUGUAUUGGCAAAUACCUCCAUCAGUAGAAAAGACACACAGGGUGCUCUGGGAUUGUGGAUGGGAAGUGUUGGGCCUCAGGGCAGGGAAUUGGUCCAUGGGACAAGGAGCAGGCCAUUUCCCAAAGCAAGUUGCUUAGCCUGGAUUGUAGAUAGGGCCCCUCUUUCCCUAAGCAGAGUCUUGGCUUUGGAGGGACAAGGAGAGCCAUGUCUUACCCUGACAGUCCGUAUGGGAGCAGGUGAAGACUCCUCCUUGACAGGUGCUAAGAAGACAGAAGCGACUGCUCAGACGACCCCUGUCCUACCUCCUCACCCCAUUCUCAACAACUCUGCCCUCCACCCAGGCUCCAGGACCUCACCAGUGUGUGCAGUUCCAGAAACCAGAACCAGAGGCCAGACUCACCUGUCCCCCAGGGCAGCCACAGCCAAGCUGGCAGGGUUCCCGCACACAGAUGGUGCCAGGCCACAAGUGGGAGCAGAAGCUGGGGCACAAAGUGGCACAGGUACUGAGCACCUGCCCAGGCGGGCACUCUGAGAAACACACAUAUGCAAUGAGAAGGGUACUUGCAGGUUACAGAGGACCUCUUCUACCUACUGCACAGGGCCAGCAAAGACGAGGACUGUGUAAAUGAAUUAUCCUUAUAUAAAUAUAAAGAUGAAUUAAUAAA